GACGAACGCUGGCGGCAGGCCUAACACAUGCAAGUCGAACGCAGUGGGUACGGGAGAGUAACACGUGGGUAACCUCCCAUCAGAGGGGAUAACACUUGGAAACAGGUGCUAAACCGAUACUGAUUGAUGGACCCGCGGGGCAUUAGCUAGUUGGGGAGGUAACGGCGCACCAAGCACACGAGGCAUAUCAGACCUGAGAGGGUGAUCGGCCACACUGGGACUGAGACACGGCCCAGACUCCUACGGGAGGCAGCAGUAGGGAAUCUUCGGCAAUGGACGAAAGUCUGAUCGAGCAACGCCGCGUGAGUGAAGAAGGUUUUCGGAUCGUAAAACUCUGUUGUUAGAGAAGCGGUAUCUAACCAGAAAGCCCCGGCUAACUACGUGCCAGCAGCCGCGGUAAUAC
rnacentral:rRNA from 1 species